rnacentral:miRNA from 1 species
UUAUUAGGUUGGUGCAAAAGUUAUUGCGUUUUUUUCAAUUACUUUCAAUGGCAAAAACCACAAUUACUUUUGCACCAACCUAUAUAU